UACGGGGGGGGCAAGCGUUGUUCGGAAUUACUGGGCGUAAAGGGCUCGUAGGCGGCCAACUAAGUCUGACGUGAAAUCCCUCGGCUUAACCGGGGAACUGCGUCCGAUACUGGAUGGCUUGAGUGUGGGAGAGGGAUGCGGAAUUCCAGGUGUAGCGGUGAAAUGCGCAGAUAUCAGGAGGAACACCAGUGGCGAAGGCGACUACCUGGCCUGUUCUUGACGCUGAGGCGCGAAAGCUAGGGGAGCAAACGGG
rnacentral:rRNA from 1 species